CGCCGCGAAACUAGCCGCGGAGGAGCGGAGCGCGGCACCUGGGCUUCCCCCCCGCCCGGGGCUGCCGCUCCGCUUGCGGCUUCCGGGCUGCUCUACUGCUCCGCCUGCGGCUCCACGCACACAAAUAGCACAAGAUAUAUAUAUACUUUGCCAUCUGAGAUCAGAUCCAGUCGGUGACGGCGUGCUCGGUGAGGUUCACUGUUCUGCCCCAGGCUGGCAUGUCUUUCUACAGCCGGUGUCGGCGACGGUCAUUCGUUCUGCAGUGUCGGGAUCGUCCAGUCUGUCCAAUGUAGACGGCAGAGGAGCGCUGUAGGCAGGAAGGGUUGGAGAUCGUUAAUGAUGUGUCUAACCUAACUUCAGACCCAGAGAAGCUUUGGAGGAUCCACAUGAUGGCACUAUUGCUUCGCGUUCAUGAGCAAGGCUGCCUCUUCCAUGUCCUUCCUUGCAAUAAUAAAUGUUACUCUUAUUCCUA